UGGGGAAUUUUGGACGAAUUGGGCGAAAGCCUGAUCCAGCAAUGCCGCGUGUGUGAAGAAGGCCUUCGGGUUGUAAAGCACUUUUGUCCGGAAAGAAAUCCUUGGCUCUAAUACAGUCGGGGGAUGACGGUACCGGAAGAAUAAGCACCGGCUAACUACGUGCCAGCAGCCGCGGUAAUACGUAGGGUGCAAGCGUUAAUCGGAAUUACUGGGCGUAAAGCGUGCGCAGGCGGUUUGCUAAGACCGAUGUGAAAUCCCCGGGCUCAACCUGGGAACUGCAUUGGUGACUGGCAGGCUAGAGUAUGGCAGAGGGGGGUAGAAUUCCACGUGUAGCAGUGAAAUGCGUAGAGAUGUGGAGGAAUACCGAUGGCGAAGGCAGCCCCCUGGGCCAAUA
rnacentral:rRNA from 1 species